rnacentral:lncRNA from 1 species
GUGAAAUUUGGAUGGGGUAAAAUGAGGAGUUCAAGGAAUGAGAACUUGAUUCCUUUCCCCCAAAAAAUCAAGUCUGCUCUGAAAAACAUAUUCAUUCUCAUUCUUAUUUCUAUCGUAGCAAGUAAACAUCAACAAUCAUUCCCAUUUUGGGUUCAUAUUGAAAGUAAGCCGUGAUAAGUAAUAAUUUUGUUGUAAAACUAUCAUUAAUUCAUGAUAAAAAAUAAUUUUAUCACAAAACUAUCUUUAAUCAAUGAUUAAAAAAAUAAUUCUAUCAUAAAACCAUCAUUAAUCUGUGAUAGAAAAUAGUUCAUUACAAAACCAUCAUUAAUCCAUGAUAGAGUGCAAAGUUUGUCACAAGUCCAUCAUAUUUUUAUGAUAUAAACCAAUUUACCCAGAAUCUGUCACAAACAGUCUAUCAUCUAUUACCAGUUUUCUAGUGUCAUAAGAGACUAAUAUUUUGGACUUUAUGGUGACUCUAUUUAAAAUAUACAUUAUUCUACUAAGAGUGUCUCCCCAAAAAGCUAAUGGUAAAUCAGAAUAGGAUAUCAUAGAUCUUGCCAUUUCCAUUAAUUUCAUAUUUCUUCUUUUAGCAAUGUCAUUUUGUUGAAGCGUAUAAGACAUUGUAUUCAAAUAUUUUAUGCCAUGUUUUUACAAAAAAAUUAAAGUACAUUCGUUACCUUGAUCACUAUUUAAAGUUUUGAUUUUUCUAUCCAAUUAAGUUUCUACUUCCUUUUUAUAUUCUUUGAAAUUUUCUAGUACCUCAGAUUUAUGUUGAAUAAAGUAGACAUACCCAUAUCUUGAGUAAUAUAUAUAUAUGGUAAUCCAAUGUUUAGUAAAUGACUUCGUAGACAACUUUCCUUAUAUGCAAGGUGACAUAUUUUAAAAUAUGUAUCCAGGUGUUAUGUAUUAUACCUCUUUCAUGCAUUCUUUUUUAUUUUAUCUUUAUUAAUAUGCCCUAAUCUAAGAUGUUAAACAUAUAAAUUAGUUUUAUUAAACUUAGACUCAUGCACGUAAGAAGAAUUAAUUAUUUUAUUACCAUCGUCAAUUGUAACACAAUACAUGCCGUCUAUCUUACCACCUCUUACACAAACUUGAUGCUUUCUUCCAACGAUCACUUUUUUAGACUUGAACCAAACUUCAAAUCCUUUAUUUAUCUUAGGUACAAACAUAAGAUUGCACCUAACACUUGGCGCAUACAAUAUAUCAUUUAUUAUAAUGUUAGACUUGUGAUUACGUAUUUUGUAACACCCAAAACCUAUCACAACAUUGUAUGUAUUAUUUCUCAUAAAUAAUUGAUGUGUUUUAGGUGCUAGCUCUUUGAAUGUGAGGAAGCCAUCUUUAGAUCUUGCCACAUGACAGGUAGUUCUAGAGUCUAUCCACUAAUCAUUCAAAUUAAGCUCCAUUAUCAAAGCUUCUAGGAUAGUAAGAGCAAGCUUUUUCAUUUGUUGCUCAACAUUUUCAAUCUUUUUUAUCUUUAGGCAAUCUUUCUUGAAAUGUCCAACUUGGUCACAUUCAAACAUUCAUUUUUUUUUAAAAUUUUUGCAGCCACUUACCUUUCUUAGUUUUCUUCUUUCCUUUCUCUUGGUUCUUGAACUACUCAGAAGGCUUAGAAGAAUUCUCCAUCAUCAAAUUUGAGUGUUUUGGUAAUUCUUUCUUUCUUGUUCUAGCGCCAAAAUUGGUGCUAACUUGUCCAUAUCAAAACUUGAGACUUGAAAAAUUUAAAGAUAUAACAAUCGAAUCCAUGAUGGUGGUAAGCUAUUAAGAACCAUGGAGACUUGCCUUUUAUCAAUAGUUGUACUUAAAAAUGAUAGUUCAUUAAGUUCAUUAGAUAAUAGUGCUAUAUAUUACUGACAUUGUUAACUACAUCAUCUCUGUUAACUAUAUCAUUUCCGUUUUCCAUGUAUAUACCAUUAAAAUUUUCAAACAAUUAUUGUACAUGAGUUUCAGAUUUAGCACUAGAUGCACUUGGGUAUCUGGAUCCGUAUCAACAUGCACCAUGGACUAAAUAUUCAUUAUUAAUACCAAUUAAAUCAUGAGGGGGGAAUCCACACCUCAUGAACCACACUCUAAUCAAUAUGGUGCUAAGGGCUUAUCGUGCCAAAUAAUGAUAACCUUGUAUUAGGGAACCAGGUGAAACCAAGGCGGUACUAAACAAGAUUAUUAUUAUUUGUCGACGAGAAGUCAAAACAUCCACAAAAACUAGAGGGAAAGAGAAAAUAAAUUUACCAAAUAAAGCCCAUGACACAUGUUGAGACUUCACCUACAACCCAAGCUUGAAAGAAAAUUAGCUACUCAUAAUUGAACUAGGGGCAAAAUGAGAAUUUAUUAAAAUACGUAGAAAAUACAAGAUGGAGAAGAAAUUACAGAAAAUUCAGUCCAAAAAUGGAUUCAGAGAUAUCAAAUUAGGGAGGGGGGGGGAGGCCCCCUUUUUAUAGAUACAUUGAGUAAAUCGUGGCCAUCGGAUUAAAAACAGUUUGGACGCUCAGGAUUGCGCCACGUCAUCAGUCAACAGCACGCGGUUUGACCACGUGGGUGAACAAUAACACAGUUUGACUUGGGUUGAGCAGUGACGCGGUUUGGUUGAAAAUAAUCCUAUGUAAUGCAUGUACCGUACGUGAGAUUUUUGGUCCACUGAUAUGCUGCCAUGUCAUCAAUCAACAGUGCAUACGAAUUUUAGUCCAACAGGAUCGUGGCACCUCAUUAGUCAAUGCCACAUCAUCGAUCAAUGCCACGUCAUCGAUCCGUCUAUGUGAACAGUGUCGUGAACAGUAACGUAGACAGUACCGUACAUGUGAACAGUGCCAUUUUUCCUUUUAUGCUCCUCCUAAGGUUUUCGACCGUCCUGAGUUCAAAAGUGAUGUCCGUUUUGCCGUCUGAUAUCUCGUUCAUUGUGAAAUGACUAUGAUGCCCCUAAAAUACAUAAAUACUUAAUUAAAAUAAAACACACAUAAUUAAAUUACAAGAAGCUUAAAUACAUAAAAGUAAGGGUUGUUAGUAAGGCUUGAAAUGUAAAAUAACGAUUUUCUCCCUUAUAAAUAUGCAUUUUCUAACACUCAACACACCCCCCAACCAGCUUAUUGCUGGUCCUUAGCAAAUAAAGCGAAAAAAAAAUUCAAAUCCUAAAUGAUUUUUUUUUUAACAAUCAUGUUUAUUCAAUCAAACUAAUGAUAGUAAUCAAAUAAAAGUAUAAGCAUUAUCUCCUGUAUAAAGAAACAUCACACCCACAUCAACCAUCCACAUGAAUCAGCCCAGUAGACUUUGUCAUAGCUACUUUCAAGAAUGACAUGUCAAACCCCAAAAUCUCACUGGAAGUAGUGACACUCUCACAAAGAAAUUAAACCUAAUAAAAAUAGUCAAUCCAAUAAAUGGUAAUUGAGAGAAAAUAAUAAAGAAGUGAUAUCACAUGCUCUCACUAAGAUGAAAGAAAUAUGCCCUCAGUUUAGAAAUAAUACAAUCUCAAGUCAAAUAAAAACGCUAGUCAACCCAAUUUAUUUAUUUAUUAUUUUUUUAUGCACCACUACAUCUUUUUAGCCCAUAUAACUAGCUUCUACUUCAGACUAUAGUUCUCUAAAAUCAAGAAGGACUUUUAUUAGGACGUAACGUAGGCUAAGGACAUGGCCAACAAAGGAGGGAAAAUAAGGAAAACAAAGUGUAUGUUUGAGAAAAAUGUAGAAUUUUUUUUUUGUAGGAGUUGCAAGGUAGAUUUCACCUAUUAUUGUUUUUUUUAAACAACAAUUUUUUUCUUCUUUUUUUCUUUUUUUUUUUGUUUGGCACAACUUCACUUAACAAAAUAAUUAUUUACAUUUUCUCAAACAUAAAUAGGUGAUGAAACAUGUAAGAUAUUGGGUAAUACUCCAAAUUGGAGUGGGUCAAAAUGAUAAGUUUGACAAAGAAAUUUUUUUUUGUUUUUAAAAGGCUCAAAAGGGUUAACUAUGGAUAUUUCAUAAAAGAGAUGGCUAGAAAAACUCAAACGGAUCAAAGAUGGCAUUUCCAUCGUCUUUUAGGGCUAUAAAUAAUCUUCCAUAUCUACUAGCUAAAUGGGCCUCCAAAUGUAGCAGCACACAUUUUUUUCUUUUUUUUUUAAUUUUACAAUUUUUUUAAGGGUUAACUCAAAAGAAAUCUAGAGAUCGUGUAUAAAAUAAUAAACUGCUAAGUUGUAUAAAGAAUGGGCAAAAGGAUUACUCUCCAAGAAAAAUAAUAGGCUCAAAAACUCACUUGGUACUUAUUAUGACAUGUUCAUUCCUUCAAGCAACUCAUAUUUGUCUCCGACAUCAACAUGUAAAGUAGCAAACAUAGCGUAACAUCACUUAAGACCAAAGAUAAUACAAAUACUAAAAUUUGAAAUUAAUAAUGUCAUCCAAUGUUAAAACAAAUCACAUAAUUUUUUUUUUAAACAACAUCCUAACCCCCAACCUAUUCUAAACAUGAAAGGAAAAUAUGGAUGCAGAAAUGUGAAAAUGAUGCAGAAAAACUAAUUAAAAAAAGAUAGAAAACGAAAAUGGUUUUUUUUUUUUAGCUUAAGAAGAUGCGUUUCUAGAGGCACUACACUCCAUAUUCAGCCAUCUUCGGCUAAAAAAAAUUGAAAAUGUAUAUUUAUAAAGGAGAAAUUAAAAAGAAGAAGAAAAAUGAACAUCAAAACAUAAUAAAGAAAAAGAAAAUGUCUGAAUUUUUUUUUGUAUUUUGUUUCAAACAAUGAAGAUGCGUUUCUAGAGUCACUACACUCCAUAUUCAGCCAUCUUCACCACAAAAAGUUAGCAAUAGUUAGUUUUUACAACAAAAAAUCAGUAAAAACUUAACCAAGAUUCCACAAUUAUCGACUAUUCUCUCCUCCCAACCAGAACGAAACAUUGUCCUCAAUGUUUUAAAGGAAAGAAGUAGAGUUUAGAAGACUUCACUUGGGUGGUGCAACAGAGAAGAAAAUAUUUAUAGGCGGAGAGUUAAAUCUAAUUUGUACUUCUUACUGCGGCUACUGUUACCAUCAUUAUUUGGACGCUCUAACACAAAGGUCCAGGGGUCUAGCUCUAGUCUAUAAGCUUGUAACAGAUCAAGUAGCUCAUUAGCAGUGUGAGCACAAAUAAAAAGUUUUUUCGCAUUGGAAGGAAUGAAGUAGUUUUUUAUUGCAUGGUUAAGAAAUGCGAUGAAACCAUCAUAAAAUUUAUUGACAUUUAACAAACCGAUGGGUUUUUGGUGAAUGUACAGAUGGGCCCAAGAUGGUAGUGUGAUAAGUGCCUCUAGUGUUGCAAGAUCUCCUAAAAGGAAAAUAAAAGCAUCAACAUGAUUAAGCAUUUCAGUUAUUCUUUCUUACAUGCCUAAGAUGACUAACUCUUCUCCAGUCGAUGGGUCAGACAAACUGCCCAAAAGUUUUAGGGCUCUUGGAAUGAUACCUAACACUUGGCUUCCUCUGACAAAAGCAGCUUCUGAGACCAAUUUUGAUAACCCUCGGUUACCUCCUACAUACACCAAGUGUAAUUUUCUCUCUGCUACGCUUCGACCAAGAUUUAUGGCUGCCUCAACGAACUCUUUAUGUUUGCCAUAGCUAAAUCUAGAAAGCACACAAAUGUUCUUGAAUUGUCUAUUGAGAGUAGCUGCAAUUGGAAUAUUUCUCAAAAACAAUUUAUGAGUGCUUAACAAAAAGUCAUAUUUAAGAAUCUUGGUGACAGUGGGUCACAACUGUGUAUGAGGUGGCAUGUCAGUGUCAAAUAAAAGAAAAAGAAAUAAUGAUAAAAUAAAAUUGUUAAGACAAUAAUGGAAAAGAUAAAAUAACAGUGAAAUAAAAUAACAGUGAAAUAAAAGGAUAUUUACAGGUAGUUGCGACUAUGGCUCACAUCUUCCUUUGGUUUUACGUCAAGAAACGGCUUGAACGCCCGCUAUGGGUCGAGGAUAGGCUUCCCAUCCAGUUUCCUUAUAAACUGGCAAACAUGGUCGCUUAUAGUCAGAUUCCCGAGACUAUAUUGUGCAUGCUCUUAUUUUCCCUGUUAUCAGACAUCAUUCCUAAAGAACAUAGGUUUUUAUCGCAACCCAUUCUGGCACACUUAUGACAAGCAACAGAAAUUCUUCGAGCUCUUCGUUUUCUUCCAUAAUUUCCUUUACCUCAACCAGGCAUAUAUGCAAUAAAUUUUGGAGGUAACUCACCUGCCAAUCAUACUUUAGCCUCGAUUAACCAACGGAUGUCAGCAUGUAUGUUAUUCCUCAUGAGCAAUCGCAUGCGUUUGAACUGGGCUUUAUAGAUUGUAAGGAGGGCAUUAUAAGGAAGUGAAGGAAAUCGCUUGUGAAGCUUCGCUAGAAUCUCGUUUCUAUCCAUACCUUCGUCUCAGAAUAUCAGUUAUUAUGGGAAACUGAAGUAACCGACUUGAUUGUCACGGAGUACCGUUAUCCGCCACUUCACUGGGGUAACAAACUAAAGCACACAAACAGAAAAACAAAUUAAAACACACAAAGAAAAUUAAAAUCAUCCUCUUAUUGAAUUUACCUCAAGCUCCAACUGGAUGUCGUAAACACUUCUCUUAAUGUCUCUGAGUUGGCUUUCUAAACCCUUAACAUAGGAUACUAACUCUUGUGGUUGCAGAACCCAAAUAUGAUGUGUCUUACAAAAUCAAAUCUGCCUUUUGAGAUGAGAUUUUACACGUUAAAGUGGUUUAAGAAUGUUUAGGAGGAACGGUUUAAGUAUGGUACUCAUGAUUAACAAUGAUAAGAAACAAAAAACUUAAUGGUUAAACAAACACACUUAUGCAAAAAUAAUUUCAAUCAGCAAAAGAGUAAUAAAAAGAAAGAAAAAAAUCAAAUCACCGAAAAGAAAAGAAUGAAAAAAAAAUCAAUUCAAAUUUAGUGGGUCACCCAAAUUUAUUUCGAUGUCCUCUCUAUAUGGUUGGUACUCUAGAUAUGGCUUUAAUCUUUGACCAUUAACUUUAAACGUGACACUGUUCUUUGGGUCCUUAAUUUCAAUUGGCCCAUGUGGAAAAACAGUAUGAACAAUAAAGGGACCAGACCAUCGAGAGCGUAACUUACCUGGGAAUAGGUGCAAUGGAGAAUUGAACACAAUUAUUUUACAACCAAUGAGAUAAGAUCGAAAUUUCUCUAAUGCAAACACUACUGCUAGCAUUUCUUUUUCAGUAGUUCAAUAGUUCAACUGUGCAUCAUUCAAUGUCAUACUAGCAUAGUAAAUAACUUGGGGAAUUCGAUCAACUCUAUGUCCUAAAACUGCUCCUACUGCAUAAUGAAUUCAAAUGGUAAGCUCCAAUUUGGGGGCUGAAUGAUGGGUGAUGAUAUUAACAAUUGCUUUAAUUUUUCAAAAGCCACAAGACAUGAAUCAUUAAAGAUAAAAGGUACAUCCUUAGCAAGUAGAUUGCAUAAGGGUCUAGAAAUUUUGCUAAAAUUUUUAAUGAAACGUCUAUAAAAACUAGCAUGCCCAAGGAAAGAUCUUACUUCUCUGACUAUUUUGGGUGGAGAAAGAUUAGAAAUGAGAUCCACCUUGGCUUUGUCAACCUCAAUACCUUUUCUUGAAAUGAUGCGACCGAGAACAAUACCUUGCUUUACCAUAAAAUGACACUUCUCCCAAUUUAAGACUAAGUUCUUCUCUAUACAUCUCUGCAGAACUAGAGUUAGAUGAUGUAAACAUUGAUCAAACGAGUCACCAAAGAUAAAAAAAUCAUCCAUAAAGACUUCAAGGAAUUGUUCAACCAUAUCAGAAAAAAAUACUCAACAUGCAUUAUUGAAAUGUAGCAGGUGCAUUGCAUAGUCCAAAUGACAUUCUCCUAUAUGCAAAUGUGCCAAAAGGGCAAGUGAAAGUAGUUUUCUCUUGAUCUUUUGGUGCUAUGAGAAUCUGAUUAUAUCCUGAGUAGCCAUCUAGAAAGCAAUAAAAUUCAUGGCUUGCUAAUCUAUCAAGCAUUUGAUUGAUAAAUGGUAAAAGAAAAUGGUUUGUACGUGUGACAUAAUUCAACUUUCUAUAAUCAAUGCACACACGCCAUCCUGUAGUUACUCUAGUUGGUAUCAAUUCAUUAUCGGCAUUGGUAACUACUGUGACUCCUGACUUUUUAGGGACAACUUGUACAAGACUGACCCAUGAACUAUCAGAAAUUGGGUAAAUGAUACCUGCGUCUAAUAGGUUAAGGACUUCAGUUCUAACAACUUCUUUCAUAUUAGGAUUUAACCGACGUUGCAUUUUCCUAGUAGAUUUAGCAUUUUCUUCAAGGUGAAUGUAAUGCAUGCAGUCUACUGAGUUUAUACCUUUUAUGUCUGCUAUGGUCCAUCCUAAUGCUCAUUUGUGCUCUUUUAAAACAUCCAACAACUUACCUUUUUGUUCGAUAUUUAGGGACGAUGAGAUGAUUACCGGUAGAGUACUUUCUUGUCCCAAAAAUGCAUAUUCCAAAGUGUUGGGUAAUGGUUUGAGCUCGAGUUUCAGUGGUGAUUCUGAUGAUGGGAUGAGUUUCUAUUAUGAUGGUGCUAGUUGUUCAACUCUUGACUUCCAUUUAUUAGUGUCCAUGGAUGGUGCUGAGUCAAGUAGGGCGUUGACCUUAUCGAUCGAUCUGUCAAUAUCAAAAUCCAAACCAAAAUGAGUUAAAUAUGUUUAUAAAGGAUCAUCACUAAGAUUUGAAAGAAAAGUAUUAUCAACUAUUGUUUCUAUUAAAUCCACAUCAACAAUUUCAUCAUCUGCAUUGUGAGGUUGUUUGGCAAUGUUGAAAAUGUUUAGCUCCAUAGUCAUGUUGCCGAAGGACAACUGUAUAUUUCCAGUCCUGCAUUGAAUGUGAGCAUCCACAGUUGCCAAGAAAGGUCGGCCUAAAAUAAUGGGGAUAUGCUUCCUUGAAUCAUGUAUUGGUUGAGUGUCAAUUAUAAUGAAAUCAACAGGAAAAUAAAACUCGUCGACUUGAAUAAGCACGUCCUCCACAAUACCAUGAGGUAUUUUUGUGGACCGAUCUGCAAGCUGCAACACCAUUGGAGUUGGGUGUAAUUCUCCCAGUCCAAGUUUCACGAAUACAGAGUAAGGCAACAAAUUUACACUAGCUCCUAAAUCCAACAAAGCAUUCUCAAUUGUGUGGUUCCCUAUACUACAUGAGAUAGUAGAGGAGCCUAGGUCUUUGCAUUUUAGAGGAAUUUUAUGUUGGAGUAUAGAACUAACGUUUUCUGUCAAAAAUGCCUUCUUUUAAACGUGAAUGUUUCUUUUUUUAGUACAAAGGUCUUUAAGAAACUUGGCAUAGGAUGAAACUUGUUUUAUAGCAUUAAGUAAAGGGAUGUUAACACUUACCUGUUUGAAGAUUUCAAGAAUCUCACCUGUGGAUUUUCUCUUCUUUCCUUUAGCUAACCUCUAAGGAAAUGGAGCUUUGGGAACAUAAUCUCUUGGGUUGGUUUCUUCUUUCUCCUCCGGUGGUGAGUCCUCAACGCUCACUGGUACAAUUUGAUUUUCUUUUGUCACCAGUACUAACUCUUGUGGUUGCAGGGCCCAAAUAUGAUGUGUCUUACAAAAUCAAAUCUGCCUUUUGAGAUGAGAUUUUACACGUUAAAGUGGUUUAAGAAUGUUUAGGAGGAACGGUUUAAGUAUGGUACUCAUGAUUAACAAUGAUAAGAAAUAAAAAAAUUAAUGGUUAAACAAACACACUUAUGCAAAAAUAAUUUCAAUUAGCAAAAGAGUAAUAAAAAGAAAGAAAAAAAAUCAAAUCACCGAAAAGAAAAGAACGAAAAAAAAUCAAUUCAAAUCUAGUGGGUCACCCAAAUUUAUUUUGAUGUCCUCUCUAUAUGGUUGGUACUCUAGAUAUGGCUUUAAUCUUUGACCAUUAACUUUAAACGUGACACCGUUCUUUGGGUCCUUAAUUUCAAUUGGCUCAUGUGGAAAAACAGUAUGAAUAAUAAAGGGACCAGACCAUCGAGAGCGUAACUUACCUGGGAAUAGGUGCAAGGGAGAAUUGAAUAAAAGCACUUUCUGAUUUGGGUCUUGAAAGCCGUUCUAUAUGCCCAUAAUGCAUCAUCAAGUCUUGAUGACCAAUCUUUUCUGUCCGGCUUCACCGUCUUUUCUAAUAUGUGCUUUAUUUCUUGAUUGGAGAUCUCAACUUGGCCACUGGUUUGCGGAUGAUAUGGGGUCGCCACUUUGUGAGUGAUUGAAUACUUUGUCAAAAGAGCUUUGAAUGCUUUGUUACAAAAAUGGGCACCACCAUCACUGAUUAUCGCUCGAGGGAGUCCAAAGUGUGAAACAAUGUUGCUUUUUAAAAAUCCUAUCACCACCUUGUGAUCAUUGGUUCUGCAUGUAAUUGCUUCUACCCAUUUUGAUACAUAGUCAACAGCAACCAAUAUGUAUUAAUGGCCAAAAGAAGAGGAAAAGGGUCCCAUGAAGUCAAUACCCCAUACCUAAAAAAUCUCAACCACUAAAAUUGGAUUUAGUGGCAUCAUGUUCUUUCGUGUAAUGCUCCCCAUUCGUUGACACCUAUCACAUGAAGAAUAAAAAGUGUAAGCGUCUUGAAAUAUAGUUGGCCAAUAGAAACCACAUUACAAAACUUUAGUCGCUGUUUUCUUAGUGCUGAAAUGACUUCCACAAGCUUGUUCAUGCCAGAAUGAAAGCAUAUUUUGAAUUUCACUUUUUGGGACACAUCGUCUAAUAAUUUGAUCUGCAUAAUAUUUGAACAAAUACGGGUCGUCCCAAAAGAAAUUCUUUAUUUCUGCAAAAAAUUUGGCCUUGUCUUACUUGGUCCAAUGCUCUAAAAGUUGACCUGUAACAAGAUAAUUAACUAUUUCAGCAUACCAAGGUAAUACUUCCACACUCAUCAAUUGUUCAUCUGGAAAUGACUCAUUAUUGGUAAUGAUUCUGUAAUUGUGUUAAAAUGGAGACGGGGGAGAUGGUUCGCCACGACAUUUUCUAUGCCUUUAUUAUCUUUAAAUUCCAAGUCGAAUUCCUGUGAAAGUAACACCUAACGAAUUAGUCUAGCUUUUACAUCUUUCUUUGUGAGAAGAUAUUUAAGAGCAGCAUGAUCCGUGAACACAAUUAUUUUACAACCAAUGAGAUAAGAUCGAAAUUUCUCUAAUGCAAACACUACUGCUAGCAUUUCUUUUUCAGUAGUUCAAUAGUUCAACUGUGCAUCAUUCAAUGUCAUACUAGCAUAGUAAAUAACUUGGGGAAUUCGAUCAACUCUAUGUCCUAAAAUUGCUCCUACUGCAUAAUCAGAUGCAUCACACAUGAAUUCAAAUGGUAAGCUCCAAUUUGGGGGCUGAAUGAUGGGUGAUGAUGUCAACAAUUGCUUUAAUUUUUCAAAAGCCACAAGACAUGAAUCAUUAAAGAUAAAAGGUACAUCCUUAGCAAGUAGAUUGCAUAAGGGUCUAGAAAUUUUGCUAACUUUUUUAAUGAAACGUCUAUAAAAACCAGCAUGCCCAAGGAAAGAUCUUACUUCUCUGACUGUUUUGGGUGGAGGAAGAUUAGAAAUGAGAUCCACCUUAGCUUUAUCAACCUCAGUACCUUUGCUCGAAAUGAUGCGACCGAGAACAAUACAUUGCUUUACCAUAAAAUGACACUUCUCCCAAUUUAAGACUAAGUUCUUCUCGAUACAUCUUUGCAGAACUAGAGUUAGAUGAUGUAAGCAUUGAUCAAACGAGUCACCAAAGACAAAACAAUCAUCCAUAAAGACUUCAAUGAAUCGUUCAACCAUAUAAGAAAAAAAUGCUCAACAUGCAUUGUUGAAAUGUAGCAGGUGCAUUACAUAGUCCAAAUGGCAUUCUCCCAUAUGCAAAUGUGCCAAAAGAGCAAGUGAAAGUAGUUUUCUCUUAAUCUUUUGGUGCUAUGGGAAUCUGAUUAUAUCCUGAGUAGCCAUCUAGAAAGCAAUAAAAUUCAUGGCUUGCUAAUCUAUCAAGCAUUUGAUUGAUAAAUGGUAAAAGAAAAUGGUUUGUACGUGUGACAUAAUUCAACUUUCUAUAAUCAAUGCACACACGCCAUCCUGUAGUUACUCUAGUUGGUAUCAAUUCAUUAUCGGCAUUGGUAACUACUGUGACUCCUGGGUGAACAGUAACACGGUUUGACCCGGGUUGAACAGUGACGCGGUUUGGUUGAAAAUAAUCCUGUGUAAUGCAUGUACCUUAUGCGAGAUUUUUGAUCCACUGAUAUGCUGCCACGUCAUCGAUCAACAGUGCAUAAGAAUUUUAGUCCAACAGGAUCGUGACACCUCAUCAGUCAAUGCCACAUCAUCGAUCCAUCUAUGUCAACAGUGUCGUGAACAGUAACGUAGACAGUAUCGUACAUGUGAACAGUGCCAUUUUCCUUUUAUGCUCCUCCUAAGGUUUUCAACCGUCCUGAGUUCAAAAGUGAUGUCCGUUUUGCUGUCUGAUCUCUCAUUCAUUGUGAAAUGACUAUGAUGCCCCUAAAAUACAUAAAAUACUUAAUUAAAAUAAAACACACAUAAUUAAAUUACAAGAAGCUUAAAUACAUAAAAGUAAGGGUUGUUAGUAAGGCUUGAAAUGUAAAAUGACGAUUUUCUCCUUUAUAAAUAUGCAUUUUCUAACACUCAUUACUAGGAUGCUAAAGUCCAAGAUUAAUAGUGCCAAUCAAAUAUCAAAAAAUUCGUUUGACAGCAAGCAUGUGUGACUCUUUAGGACAAUAUUGAAAUCUAGCACACAAGCAUACACUGAACAUAAUAUUAGGUCUACUAGCAGUCAAAUAGAGUAAGGAUCUGAUCAUACCUCGAUAAGUCUUGAUGUCAACUUCCUUACCUUUCUCAUCUUUGUCCAACUUGAUGGUAGUACUCAUUGGAGUGCUUUUUACCGUUCUAUUAUCAUAGCCAAAUCUUUUGAGUAGAUCUUUCACGUACUUGGCUUGAUUUAUGAAAAUCCCUUCCUCGUUUUGUUUGAUUUGGAGUCCAAAGAAGUACUUUAACUCUCCCAUCAUACUCAUCUCAAAUUCUUUGCUCAUACAAGAUGAAAAUUCUUUACACAACAAUUCAUUAGUAGAACAAAAAAUAAUGUCAUCAAUAUAAAUUUGAACGAGAAGUAUAUCUUGGUUCUUAUGCUUAACAAAUAGAGUUGUGUCUGCUUUUCCCAUCGAAAAAUCGUUAUCUAACAAGAAGUUUUUAAGCAUAUUAUACCAUGCUCUAGGUGCUUGUUUUAGUCCAUACAAAGCCUUAAAUAACUUAUACACAUGAUCUGAAAAUUUUUCAUUUUCAAAACUAGGGGGUUGUUUCACAUACAUUUCUUCCAUAAUAUAACCAUUUAAGAAAGCACUCUUGACAUCCAUUUGAUAUAAAAUAAAAUCUUUAUUAUAUGCAAAAGCUAAGAACAUUCUAAUGGAUUCUAGUCUAACUACAGGUGCAAAUGUUUCAUCAAAAUCAAUUCCCUCUUCUUGGUUGUAACCUUGAGCCACCAGACUAGCUUUAUUUCUUACAACCACACCGGAUUCAUCCAUUUUGUUUCUAAAUACCCAUUUAGUACCUAUGAUGGAUUGAUGUUCUGGAUUAGGAACUAAUUCUCGUACAUUGUUUCUCUCAAAUUGAUUCAAUUCCUCUUGUAUUGCCAUAAUCAAAGAUUCACCAUUUUUUGCAUCCGCAAAGGAUUUUGGUUCAAUUUGAAAAAUAAAUGUAGCGUGCUCAUAUGUGUUCCUAAGAGAUGAUCUAGUUGUAACAACUUGUGAGGGAUCUCCUAAUAUUACAUCCUUAGGGUGAGAAGAAACAUACCUCCACUCCUUAGGGAGUAUUUGAGAAUUACCUUCAUUUUGCUCUGCAUUUGUUUCUUCAUGAUGUUCCUCUUGAAUUCCAUAUAAUGCAUCUUUUUUGUUGUCAUUUGAUGUUUUUUCUUGUUGUUCUUCUUCUGCAUUAUCAACAAGCUUAUAGAGUGUAUAAUAAAAGAACUUCGGUCUACCGCUUGUCACAUCCGGUUAGCCGCUUGCUACAUUAACUGCUACAGUGAAUUAUUUUUUAAAAUUAUAAUUCGACCCUAAACCUUUAUAAAACUAUAUUAUGGCCUAAAAAGGUUACGAAAAUUUUCAAAUAGGUCCAAUUUUAGAAUUUCUAAAUAAUACUUUGUCAAUCCCAAAACUUUUUAAAAUUAUGAUAUGUCCCAAAAUAUGUGAAAUUAUAGAAUGGCCCAAAAUAUUUAAAUAUUUUCAAAUAGGUCCAAAUUUGAAAUUCAAAACAAUAUCAAAGAUUGUAAAAUACUUUCAUUUUAGUCUAUAACUUGGAAAACAAUUUAACUCUAUAAAAUCAUCUUCUUAUUAUAAAAAAAAUAUAUAAAUCUUGUUUAACCAACACAUGUGGUUUGUUAUCAUCAAAAUCAAUAAUUAUAGCCAUAUAGGCUAACACUUGGAUCAAGUUUAUGAUCCAACAACCCUUUAAACUUAAUCCUGUGACACCAACCGAACUUCUGAAUUUUACGAAGUCUUCUUGCUUGAGCGGCUUGGUGAAGAUAUUAGCUGCUUGAUCUUGUGAUUUUACAUACUUGAUUUGCACUUCUUUUCUUGCAAUACACUCUCUUAUGAAAUGAUAGCGAGUAUCUAUGUAUUUGCUUCAAUCAUGAAAGACUGGAUUCUUGGAUACGACAAUUGCUGAUUUGUUAUCAAUAUAAAUCCUGCUCGGCUCUUCUUGCGGCAAACCCAACUCCUUCAGUAAAUUUAUGAGCCAAAUUGCGUGACAAACACUUGAUGUGGCAGCUACAUACUAAGCUUCACAGGUUGAUAGUGUGAGAAUCGGUUGCUUCUUUGACAUCCAUGUGAAAGCAGUAUUUCCCAUGAAGAACACAAAUCCUGUGGUACUCUUUCAAUCAUCUACAUCUCCACCUCAAUCGCUAUCACUAUAUCCAACAAGCUUGUUGAUAACUCUAUGAAAUGAGAGUUAUUACAACAAUUCUAGACUUAAAUUAAGAUCACUUAGAGGGUAAAUUAUGUGUUUUUAUUGCAUUUUUGUAACAUUUUGCAUAAACAUUCGUUUUAGUUUCGUCCUAAUACGUUUUGCUUGAUUUAAUUAAUUUAUGAUCAAAUUGUGUGCAUAAUCAUAGGUUUUCAGAAGCUUAUGAUUCAGGGAAAGAAUGCUGAAGCAAUAGGCUGGCACAAAAGAUAAAGAAUAUGGCACAAAAGAAGUAAAACAAAAUCUGGAACAGUGCAGUGCUAGAGCAAUUGCUGGAGUAGCCAUUGCUGUAGCAAUUCUAGAACAACGAUAGAGAAACUUUAGCACGGGAAACCUAUAGGAUUGUGAUAUGCAGUUUUCUAAUUUGACUCAUGCGCGCCCUAGGCUCUUGCUUACCUUAAUUUUCAGUAUAAAAAGAGGUGUGCAACACAUAGAACGGCAGCAAGGAGUAACAUUGAAGAAAAUUGAAAAGAAAAAGAAGAAAACAAGUAGAAGUCAAGAGAACCAAGUCUGCACCAGCAAAGAAUCCAAAAGAGUUGUUUGGAUUCAGUCUUCAUUGUUCUUUACUUGUUCUUUUCUCUACUUUUUGGUUGAACCAAUGUACUUCGUUGCCAUUAGUUUGUUGUUUGUUUCUUUUUUCUAAGAAUGAACUAAACUUGUUUGUAGUUUAGUGAAAAAUAAUCUAAUGGGUUCUUGACUGUUCUUAUGAGUUGCUAUAUAAUUGCUGUAGCAUAUUACUCUAGUAGUUAUCAUUAUAACUGUUAUUUCGGUUGACCACUCACUGAAUGGUUCAAGUUAAGAUAGAGUCGCAAAAGGGCAUGUCUUAGUAGAUAUUAUUAGAGUAAUACUUGAUCUAAAUUUGAGUUUCCUGAUUAAGUUUAUCUUGAAUCCCAUAAGGGCUAUACUUGAAGUUAAGACUUGUGAAGAACUAGAAAUAGGCAUUCACCUUGUAGGGUUGAUAGAAUGGAUGUUCACAAUGCAAUGCCUCAUGUAGAAUAGCAACUGGUCAUUGUUAGAAUACUUAAAGGUAUGCGAAAUCCAACACGCGACAACUGAGGAUGCAAAAUAAUUCUGCCCAGUACUGUAGGAAUUGCUGUAGCAACUGGUAUUAAUUUGAUGAAAAGCAGUCAGCCCAUGAAGAGAGUUUGAUCAUUCAACUAUCUUAUUCUCAAUUGAUUCUUUCACGCAAUUUACUUAGUUUAUUUUAUUACUGCAUUUAUUUGUCUUAUUUCCUUACCAUUGUCAAUUUUGGUAGUAAACAACUUUGAAUUUGUUCAUCUUGAAAUUAAGGUAGAUAACACUCUUGUGAUUGUUGUAGCAUUUAUGAUAACAUCAAUCCCUGUGGAGACGAUCUUGAAUACUUAUCACUUUAUUACUUGUGUGUACACUUGCACAUUCACACCAAUAACAAUUGAGUUAAAAUUCACCAACACUUGUAGUAAUUAGAAAAUGAGUAUAACAAACCGAAAUUAAUUGUACCUUUGAUGUAGCGAAGGAUUCUUUUUGCAGAUUUAAAUGGGUGGUCUUUGGAUUCUCCAUAUAUUGACUCACAAGUCCAACAACAUAAAUGAUGUCUGGUCUUAUGCAUGUCAAAUAACGUAGGCUUUCGACCAAACUUUUAAAAAAUGUUGGAUCUAUAUCUUCACCUUCAUCGUAUUUGGAUAACUUGACUCUGCAUUCCAUUGGCGUGCUUAUAGGCUUACAAUCAUUCAUCUUAAACUUCUUGAGAAUCUCUUUUGCAUAGCUUUCUUGGGAGAUAAAUAUCCCUUCUUCCUUUUGCUUGACUUCAAUGCUGAGGUAAUAUGCAAUCAGUCCGAUGUCAGUCAUCUCGAAUGCUUUGAUCAUCACUCUCUUGAACUCUUCAAACAAGCUUUGAUCACUUCCAGUGAAGAUGAGAUCAUCCGCAUACAGGCACACAAUUAAAAUGUCUCCAUCUUUUUCUUUAACGUAGAGAGCAUGUUCAUAUGGGCAUUUGGUGAAGCCGUUCUCUUGAAAAUACUUGUCAAUUCUAUUAUUUCAUGCCCUAGGAGCUUGCUUUAACUCAUAAAGAGCUUUCUUCAAUCUCAAAUCUUUGUCUUCGUGUCCUUUCACUACAUAGCCUAAUGGUUGUUCGAUGUAAACUUCUUCUUCAAGAAAUCCAUUCAAGAAAGUAGACUUUAUAUCCAUUUGAAAAAUCUUCCAUUUGCUCUGAGCAGCCAAGAAAUAAUAAGUUUAAUAGUUUUAAGUCGGGCUACAUGAGCAAAUACCUCGUCGUAGUCUAUGCCAGCCUUUUGACUAUGGCCUUUUGCAUCUAGCCUCGCCUUGUACUUUUUAAUUUCUCCCUUCACAUUUCUUUUCGUUUUAUACACCCAUUUGACACCGAUCGCCUUGUGACCUUUAGGAAGAGUAGUAAGCUCCCAAGUAUAAUUCUUCACAUUGGCUUUGAUUUAUUCAUCCAUUGCAAUUCUUUACUUCUCAUCUAGUGCAGUUUCUUGGAAGUUGACUGGCUUACAAUCAACAAAGAGGAAAAAAAGAGUGAGAUUAUCAUGUCUCUUAGUUACCUUAUAGAGAUCUUGAAGACUCCUCGUACGUUCUUCGGUUAUUUCAUUUAAGAAAGAUGGCUGUGAAUCUCUAUGUAUGGUUGAUGCUGGUGAGAUAGGUAGAGUAGCUAGCUCGUUGUUCUUCUACUUGUUUUAUCUAUGUAUGAUCAUCUUCUUCUAUGGGAAAGAAGUUGAAGCCAUCCAUACCAGAGCCAAAAUCUCAUUCUCUUUUUUCAUAAAAAAACUACAUCUCAACUGAUCACGAUCUUCAUGUUAUUUGGAUUGUAAAGCUUGUAUCCUUUAGAGUUGUUUUCAUAGCCGAUGAAGAUGAACUUCUCACUUUUGUCAUCCAGCUUGGCUUUUCUUUGUCUAAUAUAUGUACAUAGGCAAUGCUUGCGAAAACUCUCAGCUCGAGUGGCUUCUGAGCUCUUGAGUUUGACUCCUUUGGAAAUCUCUUUCUCAACUGCUUGCCAAGUUAAACAUCCUUCACAAAGUUGAUAAGGGUGAUUGAUGUAUGGUAAGCCUUUCACCAUCAUCUUCUUCUUGGAUAGUAGCUUCAGUCCUUAAAAGUUGAGAUGCCUAUAUUGAAGAUGUCAAAUCCAGGAUGGAUCUUUGUGACAGGGUUUGAGACAUUUUGCAACAUCAUUUUGAAUAUUUAAAGGAAACAUUCAAUUCUUCGACAUUUUCACCUCUGUAAUUAGAUUUCCUUUGUCAUCUCUUAGAAAACGACUACAAACUAAGGAUGUUACUUUUCAUAUUGGGCACAUAGUAAACAUUCGAAAUUAUUUGGUGGCUAUCAUCUUUUGCAUGCAAAAGAAUGUUACCUUUGUGCUUUACUGGUACUUUUGAAUCAUUUCCAAAAGUGACACUACCAUUCAAAAAUUCAUUUAGUUCCACGAACAUGCUUUUAUUUCCACUCAUAUGAUUGCUAGCACCUGUGUCAAGAUACCAUGUAUUUUCUUGACUUCCACUUGUGUCAUUGCGUGCUAGUAAAAGGGUGCUAUCUUCACCAUUUUUCUCUUCAACACAAUUCACUCUCUCAUCAAUUGUGGCACUUGGAGCUCUACAUUCUGAAGCAUAAUGCCCAAACUUUUGACAAUUAUAGAAUUAUACUUGGGAUCUAUCAUACCUCGAUCUUAGAUUGCCUCUGCCUCGUCCUCUAGUUGAGCUUUCUCCUUUGGCAUAAUUUGAGUUGUUGUUGAAAUUCCAACCUCGUCCAUGACCACGACCUCUACCUCGUCCUCAACCUCUACCUCAAACAUAAUGCCUUCUCUUGUUGUCAGAGCUUUCUUCUAUUUUCUUUAGAUUGACUUCCAUCUUGAGAAGUUGUUCUUUGAUUCCUUAUUUCUUUUUCAGUUUUUCUUCAUAGGCUUGGAACCUUCCUUGAAGUUGCUCAAUCGUCAUAUCUUCUAAAUCUUUUGUUUCCUCAAUUGUCACAACAAUAUGGUCAAACUUCGAGUCUACUAAUCGAAGUAACUUUUCAAUGAUCCUUACCUCUUUUAACUCCUCGUCAUUUCUUUUUAAUUCAUUAGAAACAGUCACAACCCGAGUAAAGUAGUCAAAAAUUAACUCUGAUGCCUUCAUGUGUAAGGACUCAAAUUCUCCUCGUAAUGUUUGGAGACGAACAUUCUUAACUUACUCCGCUCCUUUGUAAGAGGUCUCUAGCUUCUCACAUGCUUCUUUUGAGGAGGUUGCACCAACAAUCAUUUCAAAAGCAUCUUCAUCUAAUGAUUGAAAGAUAAGAUACUUUACUUUAUUCUCUUUCUUCUUCAAGUCUUUUAAAUUCUCUUUCCGCGCUGUAGUUAAAGUGGCUUCAUUUUCUGGCAUUUGUAGCAAAAUAAAUGAUUACAGAGCCCCAUAGUAUAUCAUUAAUUAUUUUUUAUUCUCUUAUC